UUAACAAAAACAAAAGACAAUUAAUAAUUAUGGAAAAGUUGAUUUUAAAUUUCAAAUUAUAUAUUAGCUUAAUGCCGGAUGGGAUAUCACAGGGGCCUUGUUUUUAAGGUAGGUGAUCACAGUGGGCUUCAGUUUUCAGACAAAAUGCGAAAUCUAUUGACAUAAAGAUGACCAAAGCGACAUCUAAAGACGGCUUCAGUGGCUGUUACCAUUUAAAUAGCCACAGUGCGCAUGCAAACCCACAGUGGGCAUUUAUAGUCCAAAAGAUCUCACAAAUCUAUUGACAUAAAGAUGACCACAGCAGACAUCUAAAGACGUCCACAGUUGGCCACUACCAUUUAAAUAGCCACAGUGCGCAUUUGUCGUUAAAUGCAAAGCCACAGUGGGCAUUUAUCGUUCAAAUAUCUGACAUAUUCAGGCAUGUCACAGAAGUUUUACGAAAUCGAUUUAUUUCACCUUUUCCAAAUCGUUACGAUUUGCUUUUGCUUCUUCAGCACUCGUACGUUUUGACUAGUCCGGAAAAAAAAUCAUUUCACAUUUUUGAAAUAAAAAUAUGGUAACUCCAUGAAAAAAAAGUCGUAAACAAAUUAUUGACAAUUAAAAAAGGAGUUUAAAUUGUUUUUUAUAAUAUAAACACCAAAAGUAAAAAUGCCAGGGGCUUCAAUACUUGCUGUAAUGGAUGAAGAAAUAAAUCAGCAGUCUACUGAAAAAAUUGUCGCCGGAUAUUGAGGAACGCAUCAGAUCCUUUAUCUCACUCAAAUGCAGUAUUUAUAACUUAUUAUCGGCUAAAUAAAGAAGCUUUUGUUUUAGUUUUGGAAAAAAUUUCUCCCCACCUCAAACGUUCCAAUAUACCGGCUAUUAUCCAGCUUGCAACAACGCUUAGGUUUUUGGCUACGGGUGCAUUUCAAAGAGUUAUAGGUAGAGAUGUGGAGCUAAGCCUUGGGAGAAGUACAGUUUCUACAAUUAUGUGGAGAGUUAUUAAUGCAAUUGAAGCUGAAAUUUGUCCACAUUGGAUCAAAUUAAGAAUGUCUUCCGAAGAAAAAAGAAAGUCGAAAUUGUACUUUUUUGCUUUUUGGUCUGUCAGUUGUACAUUUCUACACCUGCUUCUUCAACACAUAUUGCAAUAAUUCAACAAUACAAGUCUGCCGUUCAUUUCUGCAUAUUUUUUUGCGUUUUCAUCAUGGAUUAGAAAAAUAAUAGAUUUUUUGUAAAAUAAAUUCCAAAAACAUGUUCAUUCUAAGAGAAUUUGGUUAAUACAAUAUUUUCUGUUAAAUGUA